CAUGCAGUCGAACGGUAACAGAGAGAAGCUUGCUUCUCUGCUGACGAGUGGCGAACGGGUGAGUAAUAUAUCGGAACGUACCGUAUUGUGGGGGAUAACUAGUCGAAAGAUUAGCUAAUACCGCAUACGCCCUGAGGGGGAAAGUAGGGGAUCUUCGGACCUUACGCAGAACGAGCGGCCGAUAUCUGAUUAGCUAGUUGGUGGGGUAAAGGCCCACCAAGGCGACGAUCAGUAGCUGGUCUGAGAGGACGACCAGCCACACUGGAACUGAGACACGGUCCAGACUCCUACGGGAGGCAGCAGUGGGGAAUUUUGGACAAUGGGCGAAAGCCUGAUCCAGCCAUGCCGCGUGAGUGAAGAAGGCCUUCGGGUUGUAAAGCUCUUUCGCAAGGAAAGAAAACUUAUUCGCUAAUACCGGGUGAGGAUGACGGUACCUUGAUAAGAAGCACCGGCUAACUACGUGCCGGCAGCCGCGGUAAUACGUAGGGUGCGAGCGUUAAUCGGAAUUACUGGGCGUAAAGCGAGCGCAGGCGGUUUUGUAAGUCAGAUGUGAAAGCCCCGGGCUCAACCUGGGAACUGCGUUUGAAACUGCAAGGCUAGAGUAUGGGAGAGGGGGGUAGAAUUCCACGUGUAGCAGUGAAAUGCGUAGAGAUGUGGAGGAAUACCCAAUGGCGAAGGCAGCCCCCUGGCCUAAUACUGACGCUCAUGCUCGAAAAGCGUGGGGAGCAAACANGGAUUUAGAUACCCUG
rnacentral:rRNA from 1 species